ACAAUGGAAUUGCUUGUUCUUUUGUUUUCUUUUUUGGGUAUAACAUUCACAAGAAGCCGGUUCUCAAGCAGUCUUCCCUGCCUGGGAACCGCACACAAAUAGAGCUAGCUUUAAGUUUCUUUAGAGGAAGUCGAUUUGUAAUCCAUAUUUUGAGCUUUAUUUCCAGAAACCGUUAAAUACCACUUAUGAAAAGUUACAGUAGAGAGUUGUAGAACAAACCGAAAGGGCGAUAAAAUAGCAGCACAUCUGCACAUGGACAGUAGAGAGUUUAUUUUGAUCGAUACUUGAUGGUGAUCAUCGGUCAAUGAACAUUCCUGCUGCACCUAUUUUUCAAGUCGCAAGGCCGGUUUCGACUAUCCAAUUUCACAAUGCAAUUCCCGUACCUUGUUCUACGGCAAAUUGGCUUUGGCUGAUUUGUGCGGUAAACAAUAGGUCUGCCGCCUGGGGGAACAGCAAGAACAUUGCCAAACUGAGAAUCCACGAGGAAUUCUUGGUCGUAGGCUACAGUACUGCCGAUCGUGGAAUUGUCCCAGUCCCAGCUAACGCUGGCAUUGACACUUUGAAUACUAGUUGCGCUGAGGAGAACUGUCGUGGUAAGCAGCAGCCAUGCCACCACUGGGAAGAUGCACAGGCUCUUUGAUGCUGAUUUCUCCAUCUCUCCCUGCUAUCUCUUGCUCUCUUGGAGACCUGAAUAUCCUUCUCUGUUUGUACUAAUAGACCUCGAACCCACUUUACAUGAUAAUCGUAUUAAUGAACGUAUGGCUGUAGUUGGGACUGAGUUAAUUAAUUUAAUUAAAGCUCCUCCAUGUUAGGUGGCCGUCAGCUUUGUUAUCUUCCUAGUUUCUCAAGAUUCUUUACCUUUUUUUUCGUUUCUUUCUUUUAAAAACAAAAAACAAAAAAGUGUUACAUGAAACAAUUAUAUUUUGAUUAUAUUUCAGCCAUGCCAUGUUACAUGGACACUUUCCUCUGCCAACGAUCGUGAUCAGGACCCCAACAUUUACUUCUUAUUUCUGUUCGGAAUGAUACUCUCCGUGACUGAUAACGAUAGUGGUAAGGAGGGAAGGCAUUAAAGGGGGAUGAAGAAGAAUGUAUAACUUCUACUGCUACAACAACCUAGCUGAUUGCAGAAUCCAUAGCACAAAAAAAGCCACACUAAUGCUUCUUGAUUCAUGGGAGAAUUUAAUGCUUGGGCAUGCCAAUUACACCAAAUACAGAUUAACCACAGCCAAGACCGAAUCAAUGAAAGACAGACGCAUUGUUAAAUAUGGACAAAUCAUAAUGAGUACAAAACUAUUUUAAUUAGAAAAUUAUGAGAAUUUAGAGCACCAUUUGAGGCAUCGAGUUGAAAUAUUUCUCUUUGUGUAAUAAAAAUGAUAUCAAUAUGUGAAAAUUUGAUAAAUUGGUUAAUGUAGUUUGCUUUAUAUUUUGUGUAAUAUAUAGUUGAUAAUCUUGAUUGCCAAAUUCAAAGAACGCGUGUUAUUUUGUGUUUAUUUUUGAUAAUGCUCUGCAAAUCUAUGUAUAAAUUACUAUGUUAUAAAUAGGAAUAUAAAUUACAAGUCAAGGAUUAAAGCAGCAAUGGGGACCAGCUGGUGUAAGAAAUCUGGAAUUUUGAAGUAAUUCAUUUUUAUGCUCAGUCCAUCCAGAAUUUAGUAGGGAAUUAUUGGUAAGAGGAGAGGUCAAUACGAUGGGAGGGAGAGGUGAGGAGAAAGCUGACACUGGAGGAUGGUGAAGAGUUGAGCAGUAAUUUUUUUGGGGUCACGUAUAAAUUAGCAGUGCUAAAGGGACUCUUUGUAAUGUUGCAAAAACAUGUGGCAAUGGAUGAUCGUGAAUGUGAAUAUUACAAUGUUUAUUUGGGUAGGAAUCUAUUUGGAUGAUUUAUUUAUUUUUUCCAACAAUCGGUAACAAGAUUUAUAUUAACACUUGAAAAUACAAAGGUUAAUUACAAAAAGGGGCAACUGCCCUCAAGAUUUAUAUUAACACAAUUUAUUUGGAUGAUAUAUUUAAGAUAAAUACUAUAACACUUUUCGUGAAAUGAUGUAUGUGACAUAAAAAAAUAAUUAAAAAAAUAAAAAUAUGAUCGAAAUUUGUAAAGUAAAUUAUUUUAUCUCAAAUCAUCUCAAUCCAAACACACUCAGUGUGUGUGUGAUCUAAGUAUGACUGAUAGAUUUAUAUUUAGGAAAAUAGCACCAUCACGGUCCGUAACUUGAUUUUGAGUUACAGAAGCCUUACAGCCGUGCGAUCACUUUAAAAUAAAGUGUGUACUAGCUUGUCCAGUUAUAUAAGCAAAGCAUAUCAAUUUAUAUACUCCCCUCCCAUAGUUCCAAAUUUUGCCAAUAGCCCCUCAGCCUCCUUGCCUCGUCAAUCUCCUGUAUUCAUAAGGAACCUCAAUCAAAUCAUCUCCUCCGCCUUGUAUGAACAAAAGCUCCUGCCUUCUGUCAUGACUUUUGUGGCAUUUUUUGCUUUCACAAAUCACACAAUUAGUAAAAGAAAAGUUCAAAAUCUCACAAAUCAAGAUAAACUUGAAUUUGUUAUACUACAACUCAAUUGAGAAUCAGGACUUGAACGAGAAAGGUAGAAGAAGUAAAGGGCAACACCAGGUUGUCUCCCCCUCAAGCCCAACAUUCUCUAUCACCUUUAGUUAAACCUUCUUUUCCCCUCCUACCUUCUUGUCUUCCAAAUUAUCCUUAGGUUUUGUGCAGCCUAAUUCUCGAGUUUUUGGUGGUUGUAUGGAUGCCCUGAUUCUUAUUUCGUACCAAAAUUAAAUAAUAAACUUUUUGUGUUCAAGGCACCUAGAAUGAAGUAAAUUAAAGAGGCGCAGUAAAGAAGGGCUAAUGGAGGAAAGCGGAUAAGGUAAAGGCAAUGGAAGCCAAGGAAAGGUGGGGAAAUGAGGAAUAGAUGGAGAAAGGGCACACCGAAGCAUGAGAAAAAGAUUGAGCAAAAUUGGGGCUACGUAUAGAUUAGCAAUGUUGAAGGAGUGUUUUGUGGUAUUACAAACACUUGUUAUAAUAGGUGACUGUAAGUUUGUAGAUCACAGUGUCUGUGAUCUAAGGAUGAUUCUUAUAUUUAUGCGUACUGAGGCGGCAUUAAUAUUUAGUCUCCCAAAAAUUAAACAUACCACCAUUUUUAGAACCCAAAAAAGAUAGUUAGUCGAUUUGCAAAUUGCAAUGCAUAUUUUUAGCUUUAUUUGUUAAAAUCCACUUAUGAAAAGUUACAAUAGGAUUGGGACGCAGACGAGAAGUUGCACAACAAAUCAAAAGGGCGAUAAAAUAUCAGCGCAUGGACAAUUGUGAGUUCAUGUUGAUUGAUACUUGAUGGUGAUCAUGAGGGACUGGGCCUCAGACAAAAAUUGCUGAAGCUGCAUUUCCUGCCUUGACGCCCACCAGGAAUGCAUUUCCAGUACGUUAUUCUAUCACAAAUUGCCCCUGGCUGUAAUGCGAGUUUACUAGGACUUCUUCCAGAAGCAAGAACAUUGCCAAACUGAGAGUCCAUGAGGAAUUCUUGGUCGUCGGCUACAACAGUACUGCCGACCGUGGAAUCGCCCCAAUCCCAGCCAACGCUGCCAUUAACACUUUGAAUACUAGUUGCGCUGAGGAGAACUGUCGUGGUAAGCAGCAGCCAUGCCACCACUGGGAAGAUGCACAGGCUCUUUGAUGCUGAUUUCUCCAUCUCUCCCUGAUAUCUCUUGCUCUCUUGGAGACCUGAAUAGCUUUCUCUAUUUGUACUAAUAGACCUACUUUAGAUGAUAAUCAUAUUAAUGAACGCAUGGCUGUAGUUGGGACUGAGUUAAUCACUUUAAUUAGAGCUCCUCCAUGUUAGGUGGCCGUCAGCUAUCCUAUCUUCCUAGUUUCUCAAGAC
rnacentral:lncRNA from 1 species